AAUAACUAAAAACUGAAAAUUCAUACCCGCGCGUCUAGUAAAAUUAUUAAAAUAGGGUGAAUUAGCUAAAUAAUAAUAAUGAGAAAAUCAAAACUAAAUCAUUUUUUGUAAGAAGGCUCGUCGGGGUGAGGCACAUGAGUUUUCAGUAAAGGAAGGAAUAAUAAAGAGAAGAAAAGAAAGAAUAAUAAAGUUUCAGUAAUUUGGAUAUUGAUCAUAGGGACACACUUAAAUUAGCAUAAACAAAAUCAACACUUUGAGUCGAGGCACAUGAGUUGAACAUACAAAGGGCAUCACACCAUGUAGAGGUAACAAAUCUACCGUCAAUUCCAGGGAGAUGGUGUUUUACAGAUGGUUCUUAGAAAGAGAAAAGUUUUUUUCAAGACAAAAUUGGUAUAGUACUUUAGAAGGUUUUGACGGUUUGAUGGAGAGCGGGAAAUAAUGUUAGGACUAGUCUUUCCUCUUUUCAUGCGGAGGUUGGAAGCGCUACUUUGAGAAAUUGAGUGUAUGAAGAAUUUGCGACAGUUUCAUGUCACGUUUGCAAUCGAUUGUUCUCAAUUGGUGACGAUAGUUUCAGAACCAGAAGAAUGACCAGUUCUUACGAGUUAUUUAGAAGAUAUCAAGACUUUGAAAAAAACUUUCUCAGCUCAGAGGUCAUUCAUUUACCACAAACACAUAAUUCAAAUAUGGAUAGUCUAGCUUGUAGUGUCAAGACCUAAUCGUCUUUCGUUAUUCACAUGGAUGUAGAUUUCCAGUUUGGUUUACAGAGUUAUCUGUUAAGUUCAUGAAAAAAAAAACUGACCUUGUUUCUCAAAAUGGUAUGUCGGAAUGAACUAAAUCAUUGUCUAACUUUGGCUCAUUGUCUACGCAAACCGAUAAAAUUUCGUCCGUACUCGUGAAAACCACAAAUAUUUAAGUCACUAGAAACACACAUGAUCCUCUUUAUACAGUAAAAAUUCCAUAAACUAAUAAUAUAAGUAAUAUUUUAGUUUACAUUAUUUCUAAAAUAUUUUAUUUUAAAUGAAAACUAAUUAUUUAAAAGCUUUAUUGUUUUUACUUAAGGAUGCUGUACGGUUUUGCAAUCUCACGAGUCCCACAAGCAGCAUUACACAAAGACUGAUGAUCCAUAAUUUGUUUUUCUCCAUUUCCUAUGUAACCAUUUUUUUAGUAUGUGUGUAGGUGUAGCGUUUAACCUCUCUCUAGAACUACAACUUCCCGAUCAAGAUUCGUGUCCGGUGGUUGACGGCGGCUUUGCCGUCGGUCACCACCAUCUCUUGUUUUCGUUUGUACAUAAUCGAUCUAUAAAUCGAUCUUUUGUUGUGGUAAUAAAUUUUCAGUAAACUGGUUAAGGUGUUGAGGAUAGCAUCUCUGUUUGGGAGUUGAUGAGGUUUGAUGAGUUGCUUUAGCCAUCUGUGAAGUCGAUUAAGAAGAGUUGGCGUUCUACGGUCCAACAAAUGGUCGGUCUUCCAUUUUGGUUUAUGCAGCCUUUGCGUUAAAAUUCCGGUGAGUUAAAGCAAGACUAUUCAAGUAACCGAGGUUUAGUUGAAAGACACCGUAGUAUAAGCGAUUUGAACAGCGACAUGAAAGAGAAGAGACUUGGGAGUGGAGCUGUUAGAGUCACGGUGGAAAAGUCAUCUCGACGUUCGUGCCUUCCAGCACAUUGUAGAAGGAAAAUGUGUGGUUGCGUGCUAUCCUUGGAAUUCCUCAUCUGACAUGUGUUACUCACCACUUCCAUUAUUGUAUUUAUUAUAUUUGUAAUAUCUGUGUCGUUUGAUCCAAUCGCUUGUACUUUUUAUAAGGCCUUUGAGCCAAAUGAAAUAAAAGUACAUUGACAAAAAAAAAAAA